GGUUUGGUAGCUACGUGUACUUCCAAGUGCACAUUCUGUGUGGGGAAGAUUCUGGGGAAACUGAAAAGAUGAGUUAGAUACAGGGAGGAAGGAGAUGGUUAUGGACAUUUGUAUAUCACUCUCAGCAUGAUUUUUAUGAAGCAUGACAACGUAAAACAAAAAGAUAAGAUCUUGGACACCCGGGGCUCAGAAUCUAAGAUUAAAGAAUCCAAAUGCCAUAGCAAAUAGGAAAUGGAGCCCAGAAGUGUUCUGUGACUGGCCCAGAAUCAGCAGUGGUAUGGAGGCUGAUAGGAUUGGAUUAAAAAACUUCUCACCUAGGAAUGUCUUCCUUGUCCUUCACUAACCAAAGAACUCGUCACCAUUUCAGAAUAAAGUCUCUUCAUGUCCCUGAA